rnacentral:rRNA from 1 species
GCUUGUCUCAAAGAUUAAGCCAUGCAUGUCUAAGUAUAAGCUUUUAUACGGUGAAACUGCGAAUGGCUCAUUAAAACAGUUAUAGUUUAUUUGAUGGUCGCUCACUACAUGGAUAACCGUGGUAAUUCUAGAGCUAAUACAUGCGCAAAGACCUGACUUUUGGGAAGGGUUGUGUUUAUUAGAUAAAAAACCAAUCUAUCUUCGGAUAGUUUUGUGGUGAUUCAUAAUAACCGAACGAAUCGCAUGGCUCACGCCGGCGAUGUUUCAUUCAAAUUUCUGCCCUAUCAAUUUGAUGGUAGGAUAGAGGCCUACCAUGGUGGUAACGGGUGACGGAGAAUUAGGGUUCGAUUCCGGAGAGGGAGCCUGAGAAACGGCUACCACAUCCAAGGAAGGCAGCAGG